rnacentral:rRNA from 1 species
GACGAACGCUGGCGGCGUGCCUAAUACAUGCAAGUCGAGCGGACUGAUUAAGAGCUUGCUCUUAUGACGUUAGCGGCGGACGGGUGAGUAACACGUGGGCAACCUGCCCUGUAGAUCGGGAUAACACCGAGAAAUCGGUGCUAAUACCGGGUAAUAUCUGAGAUCACAUGAUCUUAGGUUAAAAGAUGGCUCCGGCUAUCACUACAGGAUGGGCCCGCGGCGCAUUAGCUAGUUGGUAAGGUAAUGGCUUACCAAGGCGACGAUGCGUAGCCGACCUGAGAGGGUGAGCGGCCACACUGGGACUGAGACACGGCCCAGACUCCUACGGGAGGCAGCAGUAGGGAAUCUUCCGCAAUGGACGAAAGUCUGACGGAGCAACGCCGCGUGAGUGAUGAAGGGUUUCGGCUCGUAAAGCUCUGUUGUUAGGGAAGAAACAGUACCGAACGAACUAGGUCGGUACCUUGACGGUACCUAACCAGAAAGCCACGGCUAACUACGUG